rnacentral:rRNA from 1 species
UACGUAGGGUGCAAGCGUUAAUCGGAAUACUGGCGUAAAGCGAGCGUAGUCGGUUAUUUAGUCGGGUGUGAAAGCCCCGGGCUCACCUGGGAAUUGCAUUCGAUACUGAAUAGCUAGAGUUCGGCAGGAGGGAAGCGGAAUUUCCGGUGUAGCGGUGAAAUGCGUAGAUAUCGGAAGGAACAUCAGUGGCGAAAGCGGCUUCCAUGGACCAGCA